rnacentral:lncRNA from 1 species
AAACAAGCAACAAGAGGAUGAUCAUGAUCAGCUGGAUUUUCACCUGACACCUGUAUACCCCAAUCCCCUCACGUCUGCAAUCCUGCUAGCUAGCGGGAGAGAGGUAUGGACAAUUUUUGAAGGGGUGGCUCAAGUGUACUUGACUUUUAUGGUUUAGGGAUUAGUAUUUGUGUGGUCAGAAAGAACCAUAGGUUGAAACCCUUUGUCUUGUCUCAUGUCUCU